rnacentral:rRNA from 1 species
GAUGAACGCUGGCGGCAUGCUUUACACAUGCAAGUCGAACGGUAACGCGGGGCAACCUGGCGACGAGUGGCGAGCGGGUGAGUAAUGCAUCGGAACGUGCCCGGUAGUGGGGGAUAACUGCUCGAAAGAGCAGCUAAUACCGCAUACGACCUGAGGGUGAAAGGGGGGGAUCGCAAGACCUCUCGCUAUUGGAGCGGCCGAUGUCGGAUUAGCUAGUUGGUGGGGUAAGGGCCCACCAAGGCGACGAUCCGUAGCUGGUCUGAGAGGACGACCAGCCACACUGGGACUGAGACACGGCCCCGACUCCUACGGGAGGCAGCAGUGGGGAAUUGUGGACAAUGGACGCAAGUCUGAUCCAGCCAUGCCGCGUGCGGGAAGAAGGCCUUCGGGUUGUAAACCGCUUUUGUCAGAGAAGAAAUCUUCUGGGUUAAUACCUCGGGAGGAUGACGGUAUCUGAAGAAUAAGCACCGGCUAACUACGUGCCAGCAGCCGCAGUAA